UACGUAGGUGGCAAGCGUUGUCCGGAAUUAUUGGGCGUAAAGCGCGCGCAGGCGGCCUUUUAAGUCUGAUGUGAAAGCCCACGGCUCAACCGUGGAAGGUCAUUGGAAACUGAAAGGCUUGAGUACAGAAGAGGAAAGCGGAAUUCCACGUGUAGCGGUGAAAUGCGUAGAGAUGUGGAGGAACACCGGUGGCGAAGGCGGCUCUCUGGACGGUGACUGACGCUGAGACGCGAAAGCGUGGGGAGCAAACAGG
rnacentral:rRNA from 1 species